GUACACGCUGUGACUAGCAUAUCAAUAAGCGGAGGAAAAGAAACUAACAAGGAUUCCCUAGUAACGGCGAGUGAAGCGGGAAGAGCUCAAAUUUGAAAUCUUAAAGGGUUUCCCUUUACGAAUUGUAGUUUAAAGAAGUGUUUUCUGUUGAGGUUUUGGUAAAAGUUCUUUGGAAUAGGACAUCAUAGAGGGUGAGAAUCCCGUAUUUGACCUUUACUUUCAACUUUGUGAUACACUUUCAAAGAGUCGGAUUGUUUGGGAAUGCAGUCCAAAAUGGGUGGUAAAUUUCAUCUAAAGCUAAAUAUUGGCGAGAGACCGAUAGCGAACAAGUACCGUGAGGGAAAGAUGAAAAGAACUUUGAAAAGAGAGUUAAACAGUACGUGAAAUUGUCAAAAGGGAAGCGUUUGACACCAGUGUUGUUUUUCUGAAAAUCAAUUAAAGAACUGUUUAUGCUAAGCUGUUUAGACUUUAUCAGCUAUCUGUUUAGUUUUGAGCUUUUCUUUAAUGCACUUUUCAGCUAACAAGUCAACAUCAAUUUCUUUCGCUGUAAAAAAGCUUGAGGAAGGUGGCUUGAGAUUCGUCUUAGGUGUUUAUAGCCUCUUGCCUAUGCAGUCGGAGAGAUUGAGGUCUGCAGCGUAGAUCCUUCGGGGCUAAAUGCAUUUGUGCUAAGUUAUAGCAUUUUAUAGACAACUUGUUGACUAUGAUUUGUCUUGUAGCUUACUCGCUUAUGUUAUUUUACCUACGCUUAGGAUGUUGAAGUCAUCGUAUCGCGC
rnacentral:rRNA from 1 species